rnacentral:sRNA from 1 species
UUUAAGCAGCCAAUGGCAAAUGUCCUCAAAAUGGAAUCAGAUGUUUGUAACUUAAUACUUAAGAAAAAUGAUGAGUGCGUGUUUUUUUACUUUUAAGUAUUCUCUGUGCUGCCUAGCUUAAGACAUAAACUGAUGUAAAAAUAAAUGACUGCCUGCAUAAUUUAUGUAAUGUCCUGCUCCUGAUCCUGUUUGUAUUGAUUUUUCUAAAAGGCUUUUGUGGCCACAGGAACCAAUCUGUCUCUCCAGUUUUUUCCGGCCAGCUGGCAGGGAGAACAGCGACAAACACCUAGCCGAGAGUAUGUCGACUUAGAAAGAGAAGCAGGCAAGGUAUAUUUGAAGGCUCCCAUGAUUCUGAAUGGAGUCUGUGUUAUCUGGAAAGGCUGGAUUGAUCUCCAAAGACUGGAUGGUAUGGGCUGUCUGGAGUUUGAUGAGGAGCGAGCCCAGGUAGGGUGACGUCAGUCUUUAUUGAGCAUGGUCCCUUUAGUCCCUAAUCUUGCCUUUGUCUGGGGACCUAUUUUACCCAAUCUUUAAGAGUAAGUAUAGAAAGUAUUAUGUUGAAGCAAUAUUGAGGAAUCCUGAAAAUGUUGAGACUCAAAUUCUGGUCCUGA